rnacentral:rRNA from 1 species
GGGUGAGUAACGCGUAAGUAAUCUACCCUGGCAUCUGGAAUAACCCACCGAAAGGUGUGCUAAUACCGGAUACGCUGAUUUAUCAGGAAAGGUGGCCUCUUCAUGAAAGCUACUGUGCUGGGAGGAGCUUGCGUACCAUUAGCUAGUUGGUGGGGUAAUGGCCUACCAAGGCGACGAUGGUUAGCGGGUCUGAGAGGAUGAUCCGCCACACUGGAACUGGAACACGGACCAGACUCCUACGGGAGGCAGCAGUGAGGAAUAUUGCGCAAUGGGGGAAACCCUGACGCAGCGACGCCGCGUGGAUGAUGAAGGCCUUCGGGUCGUAAAAUCCUGUCAGAUGGAAAGAAAUGCCAGAUGUCUAAUAUAUGUCUGGUUUGACGGUACCAUCAAAGGAAGCACCGGCUAACUCCGUGCCAGCAGCCGCGGUAAUACGGAGGGUGCAAGCGUUGUUCGGAAUUACUGGGCGUAAAGCGCGCGUAGGCGGCUAUUUAAGUCAGAUGUGAAAGUCCACGGCUCAACCGUGGAAGUGCAUUUGAUACUGGGUAGCUUGAGUACUGGAGGGGAUGGUGGAAUUCCCGGUGUAGAGGUGAAAUUCGUAGAUAUCGGGAGGAAUACCGGUGGCGAAGGCGACCAUCUGGCCAGAUACUGACGCUGAGGUGCGAAAGCGUGGGG